UUUUUUAUUUAUAAUUUGAAAUUUUGAAAUAGGCAUUCAUAGCAUCAAGUUAUACACUAUCAUGUGAUCGUAAUAGAUUUGAGGGAUUAUUGAAGGGUUUACGCAGGCAAUCUGUCAUGUUCCAUACACAGUUUGCGCUCAUAAAUGAAUAUUUUUCACAAUUUAUUUCUUUUGGUUGCAUUAACAGUUUGCCUUUGAACUCAAAGUGUCAUUGAGUGAUUCAUUACCUAAAAGCUUUUAAUCCUCUACCAUUGUGCAGGGGGCGUGGCUGCUAAAAAAAAACAUUUAGUUUUGUUUCUAAUUUGCAGAUUGAUAGAGUACAUGCUGAACUGUCAACGGCAAAUAUUCCCAUGCUGAGGAAAGAGGCUCACACACAAUAUGAUGUGAAUGCUGCUAGAUCAUGUUAUGCUCAUGACAGGUUUUUAAGCCUGAGUUAUCCUGGGAAGACUCUUCUUUGCAUUGAAAAAACUACCACCAGUUUUGUUUAACUUCUUUCUGUUCGGUAGAUCAGAUUUUUGUAUCUGAAAUCUAAUGACAGUUGUGGGGCUAUUUCUCAUAAUAUCCUUGGCUGUAAUUUUUCAAUCAUUAAUGAGCCCUGUGCAUUGUAUCUUUUUC